rnacentral:lncRNA from 1 species
UUAAAUUUCAAUUUCAAUUGCGUGUCUAUGUUCCGACUAAUCUCAAAUUUACCAAUAUACUUCUGUUCUAAUGAAACAUGAAAUUACUAUUUCUACCUCACGUAACAUUUUCUGCUAUCAUAUUUCCUACCUUCAUUUUCACCUUCUUUCAUACUCCCAAAUACUGAAUAUGGUUAUUAUAGCCUAGACAUGUUGUGAAACUGUUUCUUUAUGAAUUUUUA